ACUCCUACGGGAGGCAGCAGUAGGGAAUCUUCCACAAUGGGCGCAAGCCUGAUGGAGCAACACCGCGUGAGUGAAGAAGGGUUUCGGCUCGUAAAGCUCUGUUGUUAAAGAAGAACACGUAUGAGAGUAACUGUUCAUACGUUGACGGUAUUUAACCAGAAAGUCACGGCUAACUACGUGCCAGCAGCCGCGGUAAUACGUAGGUGGCAAGCGUUAUCCGGAUUUAUUGGGCGUAAAGAGAGUGCGGGUCGGUUUCUAAGUCUGAUGUGAAAGCCUUCGGCUUAACCGGAGAAGUGCAUCGGAAACUGGAUAACUUGAGUGCAGAAGAGGGUAGUGGAACUCCAUGUGUAGCGGUGGAAUGCGUAGAUAUAUGGAAGAACACCAGUGGCGAAGGCGGCUACCUGGUCUGCAACUGACGCUGAGACUCGAAAGCAUGGGUAGCGAACAGGAUUAGAUACCCCUGGUAGGAUAGCG
rnacentral:rRNA from 1 species